rnacentral:lncRNA from 1 species
GCAGUGAUUCAUACUCCUCUAGAGGAACCUAUUCUGUAACUGAUAAGCUCUGAUAAACCUCACCAGCCCUAAGUAUUGUCAUCCUCAGGAAACUUUGGUAAACGAUAGUAAGCAAAAUUAUGAGACAUCAAAACGUUAGAUCAAAUUGUAACCUCUGGGAGGGGAAGAAAUGAGCUAUAUUUUGUACUUCAGGAACAUAAAAUAUAUAAAAUUCUGUAACACACACACACACACACACACACACACUCUGACUCCCCCCUCAAAGUGAUAACUUCAUAUCCCAGUAAUAAGUUCCAAACAUACAAGAGGAGAUAAGUGAGCAUACUGGAAAGUAUGCUUGGAUGAAUCAAAGUGUAGCUUAAAGAAAAGUACCUGGUUUACACCCAGGAGAUUUCAUACUGCAUGAACACUUUGUACUGAAACUAGCCCAAACUUCCCACCGAAUUCAACCACCAUAAGUGAAUUAAACAUUCAUUCAACAUCUAAAGUAUAGGAGACAGAAAUUUAAAUCUGGUGUUAUAAAGUAUGCUAAGGGAAUGAUGAAAGAAGUACUCAAAAUACCAAAAAGCAAAGCUUACCUCUUAUCUCUUGCAUAAUGAUUUAACUAGAAAACUUUAACAUAGAGAACUUAAGUUAGAUAACCUGAAAGCAGAUGAGCUACUUAUGAACAGUUUACAAGAUCAAACUCACCUGUAUGGCAAAAUAGAAGAUUUUCGGGUAAAGGUGACAAGCCUAACAAGCCUGAUGAUAGCUGGUUGUCUAGAAAAGAAUUUUAGUUCAACUUUAAAUAUUACUUAAGAAACAUAACUUUUAUUAUAACUUUAAAUGUUAUUCGAAAAAGGUACAGCUUUUAGUAUCAGGAUACACAGUUCCCCAGAGAGUAAGCAUAAACAAUACUUGGCUUAAAAGCAGCCACCAACUGCAAAAGUGUUCAAGGUCGACCACACAUUCAUCUUAAAUACCAAUAGUAAAUAAACCAGCCCUAAUUUAAUACUGGACUAAUCUAUUAAUAGAAGCAAUACUGUCAGUAUGAGUAACAAGUAGUACUGCUCCUUGCAUAUGCUUAUAUCAGAACAUUAACCUACUGAGAGUUAACAGUAAAAUAAACCUAGACCAAUACCUAGUUAUUUAUUAAAACAAUUGUUAAACCCAACACAGGCAUGCAUUUAAGGAAAGAUUUUAAAAAGUAAAAGGAACUCAGCAAUCACAAACCCUGCUCCUUUAUAAAAAAAACAUUACCUCUGGCACUUCUAGUAUUAGAGGCACUGCCUGCCCAGUGACAUCUGUUUAAUGGUCAUGGUAUCCUGAGUGUGGAAAGGCAGCAUAGUCAUUUUUUCCUAAGUAAGGACCUGUAUAACUGAUCACACGAGAGUAUUACUGUCUCUUUUAAUCAGUGAAAUUGACCUUCCUGUGAAGAGGCAGGAAUAAUAUGAGAAGACCCUAUGGAGGUUUAAUUAAUUAAUCCAAAAAAAUAAUAACUGUACUUUAAGGAAAAACAUAGCCUUUUUUUUAACAUGUGUAUACUGCAGUUUUAUUUCAAUUGCACAAACGAAGUUCAUGUGUAGGAAAUAUAAAUGAAACAGGACAGUAAAAAUAGCAGAGAACCAAAAACUCUAAAAAGGACGUAUAUCUAAAGCACAAGAAUUAGUGUUUAGUGUUUCAUCUUCAGUUUUGUUUGACACUUAAUGCUUGCAAAUUUUGAAACAAACUUUGAGAUCAUAAUGACUCUUCUGAAGAGAUUUCAGUACAAGCACUAAGAUUGGACAUUCAGUUAGUUUGCAACUGAGUUGUUAGCUGUUUACAUAGUGUAUAGUACAGUCUUCUCACAGGUCAGAUCACCUUCCUGUAAUUAGAAAGGAUCCCCUAAACUGCACUCAGCUUAAGACAUCCAAUGUACAAAGGCAUGAAAACCAUCAUAAUAAUGUGGGUCCAAGUAACAGGUUUGAUAAGGAAAAUAAGCUUCUGUUUCCCAUUUUAAUUACUGAAAUCUCUAACAAUGACAAAACUGUCACAGGACAGUAACUGUAUACAGUAAUUCGAUAAAACUUCUUGGAAAGAACACAUUUAGCAAUCUGAGAUAAUGCAGAAUGACAGGAAAUAAAACGUGAUUCAACACUGGUUCUUUCUCUCAUUUUUACACAGAUAUCAUGUUACUAUUAGACCAAGGCACAAAACGUUUAGUGCAUAAACCAGUUUCUUUUUUAAGAUCUAGCAUUCUUAUUGUAGUCUUUUAUCUUACUUUGGACCACUUGUACCCAAUACUCUAUCCUACUAUAGACUGUUUAACUUAAUCAACAAAAUCCAAAGUGAUUUCUGACUAGAUUUAUGGGGGACAUAAACAUUUAUAUCAUCGGGACUUCCUGGGUGGUCCAGUGGUAAAGAAUGCACCUUACAAUACAGGGGACGCGGGUUCAAUCCCUAGUUUGGGAACUAAGAUCGCACAUGCCAUAAGGCAACUAAGCUCACGCGCCCCAACUACUGAGCUCACGCGCCUCAACUAGGGCCUGUGUGCCGCAAACUACAGAGCCCACGCACCCUGGAACCUCCCACCACAACUAGAGAGAAGCCUGCGCGCCACAAUGAAAGAUCCUGCAUGCUGCAACUAAGACCUGAUGCAGCC